GCCUCUUGCUUGUGGAUAUUUGGUGGAGCAUGAGACUCUUCAUUUCAGGGUUGUGGGUUCGAGCCCCACAUGGGGCA